CCUACGGGAGGCAGCAGUGGGGAAUAUUGCGCAAUGGGCGAAAGCCUGACGCAGCGACGCCGCGUGAGGGAUGAAGGUCUUCGGAUCGUAAACCUCUGUCAGCAGGGAAGAACGGUCACUGUGCUAAUCAGCAGUGAAUUGACGGUAACUGCAAAGGAAGCACCGGCUAACUCCGGGCCAGCAGCCGCGGUAAUACGGAGGGUGCGAGCGUUAAUCGGAAUUACUGGGCGUAAAGCGAUCGUAGGCGGUAUGUCAAGUCAAGGGUGAAAUCCCCGGGCUCAACGUGGGAACUGACUUUGAAACUGGCAAACUGGAGUGUGUGAGAGGAUAGUGGAGUUCCAGGUGUAGGAGUG
rnacentral:rRNA from 1 species